GAAAUAUUGGUUUGUUCUGUCGACGGCCAGCCUGAGGUUCUACAGAGACUCGUCAGCUGAGGAGGCUUCAGACCCGGACGGAGAAAUCGACCUGUCGAAGUUCUACAGUGUGUCUGAAUAUCAGGUCCAGAGAAACUACGGCUUCCAGAUCCACACCCAGAAGGCCGUCCGUCUUCACGCUGUCCGCCAUGACGGCAGGAAUACGCAGGAACUGGAUCCAAGCGCUGAUGAAGAACGUCAAUCCGGCCGACGCGCCCGACGUGGCCAGCUUACCUGGCCGCCGCCUCACCUGCAGCCCAGCUGAGGUCGGACCGUACGUGGCGCAGGACUCCGCCUCCUGCCACGCCCCCAGACUCCCAGGCCCCGCCUCCAGCAGCGAGUCGGACCAGUCCGGGGUCGGCGCCAAAGCCCGACUGGACGGAGUUGCGUCCUACCUGGAGCUGGGCGACCUGGAGAGGCUCAAGCGGCGGGAGGAGAGGAGGCGGCGCUACGAGAGCCUGCUGGGCUUCCCUCCGGGGCGGGGCGGGCCGCAGGGCGGCACCACGCGACCUCUGAGCCCCCAGUCCCAGCUGAAGAUGGAGGAGCGGAUCGCAAAGUGCUGGAGGCAGGUGGAGAGGACGGCGCUGAGACCAGAGAGGACGGUGGCGCUGCCCACCGAGUCCAGAGACGCUCUGGAGACGGAGACGCUGCUGCAGGACUGCAGGACGCUGGUCGAUGACCUGAAGGCCCAGCUGGCGGGUUUGGAGCGUCGCAGACUCCAGCUGGAAGAUCGCCUCAGAGCUGCCAGAUUCUGUCCGGAGCAGAUGGACCUUCUGGUUCCAUUCGACCCGAUUUUCCACCCUGCAGACGGGAGCUUGACUCUGCUGAAUGACUCUGGGUGGCUGUUCAGAGACCUGCUGCAGCAGCGCAAAGACCUGCUGCAGCAGCGCAGCAACUCCUCGUCGGCUGCAUGUCUGUCCGGCAUCUGGAUACGCCUCCCAGUCGGAGAUUCAGCAGAAACAGACGGUUUGGUCUUAGCUGCAGCUGCAGCAGGCGGCCAGCAGGGGGCGCCUCAGGCUGACUGGAGAGACCCGGACAUCCACGCUGCAGUAAAGAGUUUGACCCAGGAGGUGGCGCUGCUCAGCAGCCAGAACCGAGCUCUGGACCAGCACAACCAGGAGAUGCUGGACCAGCUGACCGAGGCGGACCGGGAGAUUGACCGGCUGAGGGCCGAGUUGGGCCGCUGCUACAACGAGCCGCUCCGCUGGAACCAGGAGCUGCUGUCGGCCUCACUGGAGGUUCUGCUGCGGCUCAAACACUCAGCAGAACCAAACGGACCAGAACUGCAGCUGGAGCAGUCGGAACGGACCUGCAGGAAACCAGAGCAGGAAAACACGGAGCUGAAGGAAACAACAGUUGAAGACGUCACUGAGGAGAAACCGGACCAGAACCAGAACCAGAACCAGGCCGUUUCUGCUGAAGAAAACAUCCAGGAAGUGACAGCAGGAGCGGGGAUGAGGCUGCAGGCGUUGGCGCAGCUGCUGGAGGUCAUCGACGGUUUGGACCUCAGAGAGGAAGAGGAGGAAGAGUUCUGGAAAUCUGACCUGAACAAGAUGAAGAGCGACCCGGCCCGGUUGCAGCAGCCAAUAGGAGAGCAGCUGGAGCAGGCCGGCCAUGCGCUGCUGCACCCUGAGGAAGAGGAGGAGGAGGAAGAGGAGAGCUUCGUGUGGGGAAGAGUUUCAGAGAACCGCAGAUUUACUGAUGAGCUGAGAGGCAUCACUCUGAGCAGAAUAUCGUGUCUGAACCGCCUCGCUGCCUCCGGCCGCAGCGCCGCAUGCGACCGCCUGCAAUCCGCCGCAGACAAACUCUCCUCUUCCCACCUCGCAUCGUCUGCAGCGGCGGACGCAUUCUGCUGCGUUCGGCUCAGCAGGCUGCGGUCCAGAUACCAGAGGAGAGUCUGUUCCAGCUGCAGCGGCGGCAUGGAGGAGAUCCAGGAGCUGAACACCGGACCGGAGGACACGUGGACCACAGAGGAUGCCCAGGUGAGCAUCAGCUGCCAGACUGAUGGAGGUCAGAGGUCAACAGCAGAGGGCUCAGAGGAAAUGCUGCACCUGGAGCAGAAUGAAACUCCUCUGAUGAGGCCGCAGGAGACGCAGCAAAGCUCUGACCUCCGAGCCGAAGGGGAGACGCUGCAGGAGGAGCUGAGGCGAAUGCAGGAGCAGCACCGGCAGGAGGUCGCUCAGCUGAAGGCCUCCUGUGAGCGCGCCUUCAUCACCAUGGAGACCUGUCAUCUGGGGGUGGUAGAGGAGCUGCAGCGCCUGCACCAGCAGGAGGUGCAGUGCCUCCUGGUGGAGAGAGACAGACUGUUGGAGGAGGAGAGCGCUGCUACUGCGACCGCGAUCGAAGCCAUCAAGAAGGCCCACCGCGCCGAGCUGCAGACGGAGAUCCAGAGGAGGAGCCAAUCAGAGAACUGCAACAGAAACUCGCAGCUGGAGGAGAUCCACAGGGAGGAGCUGGCCUCCUUCCAGCUGGAGCUGGACGUUUUGUCCCAGCAGUUCUCCAUCAAGUGUCUGGAGAACAGACACCUGGUCCAGGCUGUGGAGGCCGAGAGGAAGGCCUUGGGUCAGUGUCGGCAGGAGAACCGGGCCCUGCGGAGCCGCAACCAGGAGCUGAGCCGUCACCUGGCGGCGGAGAUCACCAGACUGUGUUCUGUGGCCCAGCAGGAGCAGCCGCCGCGCGGCCAGACCGGGGACGGCUACGAGGUGGAGGUGAGCCGGGUCAGGGGUCAGGAGGUCACGCUGCGAGUUCAGGAGGCCGAGGUCCAGAGUCUGAAACAGGAAGUGGCGUCUCUGAAGGACGAGCUGCAGGCGGCGGUGAAGGUCGGCGUCCCGCACGCUACAGAGUUUGGUUAAAAAAACCUACGAUCAGGGCGUGCUGCGGUGGCAUAGCGGUCAGCGCGACCCACGUUUGGAGGCCUCGAGUCCUCGACGAGGCCGUCGUGGGUUCGAUUCCCGGACCCGGCGAUAUUUGCCACAUGUCUUCCCCCCUUUCCUUCCCCCUUUCCGGACCAGAGGAACGCAGCACAGAAGUACCUGAGGAGCUGAGGGAGAACCUGAGGCUGGCGCACCGGGCGCUGGGUUCAGCCUGACCUCCAGGACGACCUUCUGACAUCCAGGACGACCUUCAGCCUGACCUCCAGGACGACCUAUUAACACAACAGAGCUUCAUCUCUGUGUCAUAUUUUAUAUGAGCGAAACAUUUCUUUAAAGUAACUAUUUUUUUAAGUAUAACUCAUUUACUUUAAUGUAUUUUUAUAACUUUAAAACAUUGUUUCUACUGAAUGCACUCAAUAAACACUUUUGUUUGUGUUAAUUUAAAAAUAUA